rnacentral:rRNA from 1 species
AAUAGAUACCCUGGUAGUCCACGCCGUAAACGAUGAGUGCUAAGUGUUAGAGGGUUUCCGCCCUUUAGUGCUGCAGCUAACGCAUUAAGCACUCCGCCUGGGGAGUACGGUCGCAAGACUGAAACUCAAAGGAAUUGACGGGGGCCCGCACAAGCGGUGGAGCAUGUGGUUUAAUUCGAAGCAACGCGAAGAACCUUACCAGGUCUUGACAUCCUCUGACAACUCUAGAGAUAGAGCGUUCCCCUUCGGGGGACAGAGUGACAGGUGGUGCAUGGUUGUCGUCAGCUCGUGUCGUGAGAUGUUGGGUUAAGUCCCGCAACGAGCGCAACCCUUGAUCUUAGUUGCCAGCAUUUAGUUGGGCACUCUAAGGUGACUGCCGGUGACAAACCGGAGGAAGGUGGGGAUGACGUCAAAUCAUCAUGCCCCUUAUGACCUGGGCUACACACGUGCUACAAUGGAUGGUACAAAGGGCUGCAAGACCGCGAGGUCAAGCCAAUCCCAUAAAACCAUUCUCAGUUCGGAUUGUAGG